rnacentral:rRNA from 1 species
AUGGAGAAGAAGAAGAGCGGGGGUGGCAGUGGCUUCCGAUCCCAUAGGGUAGGCACUGACGCCGACAGGUUCCUGGGCAGCGGCGGGCCGGGAGAACCUAGCGCCAGGGUCACUGCAGUUCUUGACUUCGGUGGCAAUAAGGAGUGGGCUGGUGAGUGGGAUGGCACAGCCAAGUCAGUGACUAAGGAUCUAGCCAUGAAGAACAUGGAGUUGGAGGCCAGGAUUAAAGUACUUGAAGCAGAAACUAAAAGUAAUGAGAAAGAAAAGAGAGCAUUUGUUAAGAUGCAGAAGCAAAGAGAGCAAUUUAGGGAUAAGAUUUUUUGUUUUGGAGCUCUUCUUUAUGGUGGCCUAUUUGCCAUUCUGCUAGUUGUCAUUGUUAGAAAGUAG